rnacentral:rRNA from 1 species
UACGUAGGGUGCAAGCGUUAAUCGGAAUUACUGGGCGUAAAGCGUGCGCAGGCGGUUGUGCAAGACCGAUGUCAAAUCCCCGGGCUCAACCUGGGAAUGGCAUUGGUGACUGCACGGCUAGAGUGUGUCAGAGGGGGGUAGAAUUCCACGUGUAGCAGUGAAAUGCGUAGAGAUGUGGAGGAAUACCGAUGGCGAAGGCAGCCCCCUGGGAUAACACUGACGCUCAUGCACGAAAGCGUGGGGAGCAAACAGG